AUUGAACGCUGGCGGCAGGCCUAACACAUGCAAGUCGAGCGAGCGGCGGACGGGUGAGGAAUGUCUGGGAAACUGCCUGAUGGAGGGGGAUAACUACUGGAAACGGUAGCUAAUACCGCAUACCAUCAGAUGUGCCGAGAUGGGAUUAGCUGGUAGGUGGGGUAACGGCUCACCUAGGCGACGAUCCCUAGCUGAUCUGAGAGGAUGACCAGCCACACUGGAUCUGAGACACGGUCCAGACUCCUACGGGAGGCAGCAGUGGGGAAUAUUGCACAAUGGGCGCAAGCCUGAUCCAGCCAUGCCGCGUGUGUGAAGAAGGCCUUCGGGUUGUAAAGCACUUUCAGCGGGGAGGCGUUACCCGCAGAAGAAGCACCGGCUAACUCCGUGCCAGCAGCCGCGGUAAUUC
rnacentral:rRNA from 1 species